CACGCGGGUGCACGGACCCGUGUGGGGCUGGAGACGCCACACAGGGUCUUUGGGCAAAAGCGCACGUGAGGAUCGGAGGCCCCUGGUGACAGCAGCACACCCUCUGCUUUGGGGAGCAGUGCACGGGGAGAGGCCCAGUGCCCCCUGGAGGAGCUGCGCCUGUCUCCGAGCUCCCUUCUCAGCCUCUGGCAACUUCAAAGGCCGCUUCCUGUAUUGCGGGCACCACCGGCUGCAGCCCUGGAUGAGCGGACGAACGUGGGGAGCAGGUCGCUCGUGACAGCCUGAGUUUGGGUCAGGAAUGGAUAUGGCGUACAGGCAGCGUUCCCCUUACCCCGGUCAAAGAAGCAGAGACCAGAACACGGCACUUGGCUCCGAUCAGCCCAGUCAGUCAGCAUGAGAAGAUGCAGGGAAUCCAGGCGAAGCUUGUGCUCUAUCACUGGAAACAUUUACUCGAAGAUCUUUUUAAGAACAAUGGAUAUAGCAGGUGUGCUGGCACAUGCCCAUGAUCCCAACACCCGGGAGACUGAGG